GUGAGGAAUAUUGGUCAAUGGGCGGGAGCCUGAACCAGCCAAGUCGCGUGAAGGAAGAAGGAUCUAUGGUUCGUAAACUUCUUUUGCAGGGGAAUAAAGUGCAGGACGUGUCCUGUUUUGUAUGUACCCUGAGAAUAAGGAUCGGCUAACUCCGUGCCAGCAGCCGCGGUAAUACGGAGGAUCCGAGCGUUAUCCGGAUUUAUGGGGUUUAAAGGGUGCGUAGGUGGUUUGAUAAGUCAGCGGUGAAAGGUUGCAGCUUAACUGUAAAAAUGCCGUUGAAACUGUCGGACUUGAGUGUAAAUGAGGUAGGCGGAAUGCGUGGUGUAGCGGUGAAAUGCAUAGAUAUCACGCAGAACUCCGAUUGCGAAGGCAGCUUACUAAGCUACAACUGACACUGAAGCACGAAAGCGUGGGGAUCAAACAGGAUUAGAUACCCCUGUAGUCC
rnacentral:rRNA from 1 species